AUAAUUAUUUAACCUCAUUGAUAUAUUGAGAAAUAAAAUUAUAUAUGUUUCGAAAGUAAUUUCUACAGUAUUAUAUUUAAAUACUAAGUUAUUCUUGUAUCUUGAAUAUUUUGUAAAAUUUCUAAGUUACUUGUAUAUAUUUUAUUUUAACCUUAAUCCUAAAUUUCUUAUUUUAUAUGUACCAUUAUUAUUUAACACAUUACCCGCUGACCAAUCACUUACACAUACGUACCCCACACUUGUUUAUCAUUUACUAGGCCAUGCUCACUCUAUUAUCACCACUCCUUCAAGAGCAAACACCCACCACACAAACGCAAUACACACAUGAAGAAAAGGAAGAAAACAGAGGAGGGAGUUGAAGAGAGCAAGCGAGAGAGAUCGAAUGAGAGAGGAAGAGAUGCGCCAAAGAGGGGAAGGAGGAGGCCGCUAAUGUAACUUUAAAGAGUUUUAUGGAAUUAAUGAAGGGUUAGCAUUUCAAGGAGUGAGAGAUACACACGUGAGCUCUCUUCUGGCAGCCGUUUCAAUUGAUAGUUUUUGUUUUCCAAGCACUAUGAGUCACUAAUCUCCUCAGUUAAGGUAUUUUCUGGCUGAAAUAUGAGAGUUUGACAAAACCUGAUUUAGAGGCAAGGAAAGCAUAGCAGAUGUUGUCAGGAUCUGACCUUCAUGCAUUCAAACAAGCAUCUCUGGAGUUACAGAUAUCCAAAUGGAGCGUUCUCAACAGGUAUGGAAAGCUAACAUCCAGGGCUUUCCAGUAAUAUAUGAUAGUUUAUACUUGUCUUUGGAGAUGAAGGCCCAAAACUGGCGUUCAACGCCAGCCACAUACCCCCUUCCUGGCGUUGGACGCCCAAAAGGGAGCAGCUGGCGUCCAAUGCCCACAAAGGUAUC